GUGCUCAUUUCAGAAGCACAUAUACAAAAACUAGAACAAUACAGAGAAGAUUAGAAUGGCUCCUGGCAAAGAUGACAUGCAAAUUUAUGAAGGAUUCCAUAUUUGU
ensembl:snRNA U6 U6 spliceosomal RNA